GUAAGGACCUUUCCUUCGGGAGAGGAGCGUACACAGGUGCUGCAUGGCUGUCGUCAGCUCGUGUCGUGAGAUGUUGGGUUAAGUCCCGCAACGAGCGCAACCCUCGUCGUUAGUUGCUAACAGUUAGGCUGAGAACUCUAACGAGACUGCCUUCGUAAGGAGGAGGAAGGUGAGGACGACGUCAAGUCAUCAUGGCCCUUACGGCCAGGGCUACACACGUGCUACAAUGGGGUGUACAGAAAGCUGCAAUAUCGCGAGAUGGAGCAAAUCUCAAAAACACCUCCCAGUUCGGAUUGUUCUCUGCAACUCGAGAACAUGAAGUUGGAAUCGCUAGUAAUCGUAGAUCAGCAUUGCUACGGUGAAUACGUUCCCGGGUCUU
rnacentral:rRNA from 1 species